rnacentral:rRNA from 1 species
AACCAGCACCUCAAGUGGUCAGGAUGAUUAUUGGGCCUAAAGCAUCCGUAGCCGGCUCUGUAAGUUUUCGGUUAAAUCUAUACGCUCAACGUAUGGGCUGCCGAAAAUACUGUAGAGAUAGGGAGUGGGAGAGGUAGACGGUACUCGGUAGGAAGGGGUAAAAUCCUUUGAUCUAUCGAUGACCACCUGUGGCGAAGGCGGUCUACCAGAACACGUUCGACGGUGAGGGAUGAAAGCUGGGGAGCAAACCGG